AUGUAUACACAUCAAUUAUAUUUUCAAUUAUACUUUGUUGAAAAGAUCAGUCUGCAAGCAUCUCUCUUCUUUCCCCAAGUGUCUCUCGUAGGCAGAGAACCUCUUCUUUCCCCACGUGUCUCUCGUCACAGAAGGCCGAGAACCUCUUAUUUCCCGGUAGCAGUACUAACACAGUCGUGUUGUCGGUGGUGCUUCCAAUAUAUAUUACGCAAACAACACUCAUUCCCAAAUAUGUUUGCAAUCAAGAAAGUUUUCUUUGGCGUAUUGGAUAUAGGUGCAGUUCAAAGUACAAGUGAGGGAUUGAGCUGA